rnacentral:rRNA from 1 species
UACGGAGGGUGCGAGCGUUGUCCGGAAUCACUGGGCGUAAAGGGCGCGUAGGCGGCCCGGUAAGUAGGGGGUGAAAUCUUGCGGCUUAACCGCAAGGCUGCCUUCUAAACUGCCAGGCUCGAGCACAGUAGAGGCAGGUGGAAUUCCCGGUGUAGCGGUGGAAUGCGUAGAGAUCGGGAAGAACAUCGGUGGCGAAGGCGGCCUGCUGGGCUGUUGCUGACGCUGAGGCGCGACAGCGUGGGGAGCAAACAGGAUUAGAAACCCGAGUAGUCC